CGCGUAGGCGGUCUGUUAAGUUGAAUGUGAAAACUCUGGGCUUAACCCAGAGCCUGCAUUCAAUACUGGCGGGCUAGAGUUCUGGAGGGGAUAGCGGAAUUCCUGGUGUAGCGGUGAAAUGCGUAGAUAUCAGGAGGAACACCUGUGGCGAAAGCGGCUCACUGGACCAUAACUGACGCUGAGGCGCGAAAGCUAGGGGAGCAAACAGGAUUAGAUACCCUGGUAGUCCUAGCCCUAAACGAUGAUCGCUUGGUGUGACAGGUACCCAAUCCUGUCGUGCCGGAGCUAACGCGUUAAGCGAUCCGCCUGGGGAGUACGGUCGCAAGGCUGAA
rnacentral:rRNA from 1 species